GACAGAGGGUGCAAACGUUGUUCGGAUUUACUGGGCGUAAAGCGCGUGUAGGCGGCUUCGUAAGUUGGAUGUGAAAUCCCACGGCUCAACCGUGGACGUGCAUCCAAAACUACGUCGCUGGAGUCUCGGAGAGGAAGGUGGAAUGCUUGGUGUAGAGGUGAAAUUCGUAGAUAUCAGGAGGAACACCGAUGGCGAAGGCAGGUCACUGGGCCGCAACUGACGCUGAGGAGCGAAAGCAUGGGGAGCGAACAGG
rnacentral:rRNA from 1 species